UACGUAGGGACCGAGCGUUGUCCGGAAUCAUUGGGCGUAAAGAGCGUGUAGGCGGCCAACUAAGUCCUGUGUGAAAUCUCGGGGCUCAACCCCGAGCGGUCGUGGGAGACUGGUUGGCUAGAGUGCGGGAGAGGAGAGUGGAAUUCCUGGUGUAGCGGUGAAAUGCGCAGAUAUCAGGAGGAACACCGGUGGCGAAGGCGGAUCUCUGGGCCGAAACUGACGCUGAGGAGCGAAAGCGUGGGGAGCGAACAGG
rnacentral:rRNA from 1 species